rnacentral:misc_RNA from 1 species
GGAUUUUCCUCAUUUAUAAAGAUUAAACACCUUUAUUUAAGGGAUACAGAUUCUUUUACCACUUGUGCAAACUUCAUUGCUUACUUUCUUGGCUUUUAAUGCCACUAGCAUAUAUGGAUCUUGCACAAACGAUAUUUCUCAGGCAUGUAUGCUUUUCUUCAAUGGUUGAAGAGCAGAUUAUCAUACAUGUAUGAAAUGAUGAACCAGUAGUUCCUAUUCAGGUGAAUCAGGUCUAAGAUAUCAAGAUGUGGAAACUUUGGACAAUUUGAUUGACAAUUAAAAACGUUAACAAUUUUAUCUAAACUUGUAGUAGGAAAUGGAACUGCAACGUCUUAUCUCCAAUUAUGAGAUUGUUCUUUCCUCAUUGCAUUAAUUUCUGUUUUCCUAUAUGAUUCCUCUUCAUACUCUUUGUUGACUUAUCCCAUUUCCAGAACUCACCAAAAGUUCUUGCAGGAACAUGAUCCAUUGCUGAAAUGAUGGUAACGAGCGCGGUCCCUUACAAUAAUCUCUCGGUUGUAAACUUGAGAGAUAAGCUUGACAGCAGAAUGGCAGUCCUCACACAUCCUUAGAUUCUUCACUAUACGAAUGGUUGUUCCUGGCUUUGUGUUGAUCAAUCCAAAAGCAAUUGCGAGCUUUUCACUGUGGUAUCGCAAUGCAGUUUCCUUCUCUUCCUUCUCAAUGUCAAAAAAAACCUGAGGGGUAUUUGGCAAAUAGCCUUCCAUUUCUAUCCUCUCAAUCAUAUUUUUCAACAUCAAGUAGACUUCCUUCAUAUCUGGAUGUGACCCAUCACCCAUUUUGAAUUCAUGAACAACACCAUUUAAAUCCAUCAUGCUAGUUCCAGGAAUGGUCUUGACUCCUCUUUCCUUCAUCAGUUUCCUCACAUUUGCAAC